CCUACGGGAGGCAGCAGUGAGGAAUAUUGGUCAAUGGACGAGAGUCUGAACCAGCCAAGUAGCGUGAAGGAUGACUGCCCUAUGGGUUGUAAACUUCUUUUAUAUGGGAAUAAAACGUUCCACGUGUGGGAUUUUGUAUGUACCAUAUGAAUAAGGAUCGGCUAACUCCGUGCCAGCAGCCGCGGUAAUACGGAGGAUACGAGCGUUAUCCGGAUUUAUUGGGUUUAAAGGGAGCGUAGGUGGAUUGUUAAGGCAGUUGUGAAAGUUUGCGGCUCAACCGUAAAAUUGCAGUUGAAACUGGCAGUCUAGAGUAAAGUAGAGGUGGGCGGAAUUCGUGGUGUAGCGGUGAAAUGCUUAGAUAUCACGAAGAACUCCGAGUGCGAAGGCAGUUCACUGGACUGCAACUGACACUGAGGCUCGAAAGUGUGGGUAUCAAACAGGAUUAGAUACCCUGGUAGUC
rnacentral:rRNA from 1 species